rnacentral:rRNA from 1 species
CCCUUAGAUGUCCUGGGCCGCACGCGUGCUACACUGACGCCUACAGCGAGCACUUUCCAGCCCCGAGAGGCGGCUGGUAAUCAGCAAUAGGCGUCGUGAUGGGGAUAGAAUAUUGUAAUUAUUACUCUUCAACGAGGAAUUCCUAGUAAGCGCAAGUCAGCAGCUUGCGCUGAUUACGUCCCUGCCCUUUGUACACACCGCCCGUCGCUCCUACCGAUUGAGUGGUCCGGUGAGGCUUUGGGAUCUGAGCGGAAAGAGCGUUUCGCUGUUUCUGCUCGGAAAACUCAGUCGAACCUUAUCAUUUAGAGGAAGGAGAAGUCGUAACA